CCUACGGGAGGCAGCAGUGGGGAAUAUUGGGCAAUGGGCGCAAGCCUGACCCAGCAACGCCGCGUGAAGGAAGAAGGCUUUCGGGUUGUAAACUUCUUUUCUCAGGGACGAAGGAAGUGACGGUACCUGAGGAGUAAGCCACGGCUAACUGCGUGCCAGCAGCCGCGGUAAUACGUAGGGGGCAAGCGUUAUCCGGAUUUACUGGGUGUAAAGCGCGUGUAGGCGGGAGGGCAAGUCAGAUGUGAAAACUCAGGGCUCAACCUGGAGACUGCAUUUGAAACUGGGUUACUUGAGUGUUGGAGAGGAAAGUGGAAUUCCGGGUGUAGGGGUGAAAUGCGUAGAUAUACGGAGGAACACCAGUGGCGAAGGCGGAUUGCUGGACAGUAACUGACGCUGAGGCGCGAAAGCGUGGGGAGCAAACAGGAUUAGAUACCCGUGUAGUC
rnacentral:rRNA from 1 species